rnacentral:rRNA from 1 species
UACGGAGGGUGCGAGCGUUAUCCGGAAUCACUGGGCGUAAAGCGUCUGUAGGUGGUUUAAUAAGUCAACUGUUAAAUCUUGAGGCUCAACCUCAAAAUCGCAGUCGAAACUAUUAGGCUAGAGUAUAGUAGGGGUAAAGGGAAUUUCCAGUGGAGCGGUGAAAUGCGUAGAGAUUGGAAAGAACACCGAUGGCGAAGGCACUUUACUGGGCUAUUACUAACACUCAGAGACGAAAGCUAGGGUAGCAAAUGGGG